GACGAACGCUGGCGGCGUGCCUAAUACAUGCAAGUUGAGCGCUGAAGGUUGGUACUUGUACCAACUGGAUGAGCAGCGAACGGGUGAGUAACGCGUGGGGAAUCUGCCUUUGAGCGGGGGACAACAUUUGGAAACGAAUGCUAAUACCGCAUAAAAACUUUAAACACAAGUUUUAAGUUUGAAAGAUGCAAUUGCCUCACUCAAAGAUGAUCCCGCGUUGUAUUAGCUAGUUGGUGAGGUAAAGGCUCACCAAGGCGAUGAUACAUAGCCGACCUGAGAGGGUGAUCGGCCACAUUGGGACUGAGACACGGCCCAAACUCCUACGGGAGGCAGCAGUAGGGAAUCUUCGGCAAUGGACGAAAGUCUGACCGAGCAACGCCGCGGGAGUGAAGAAGGUUGUCGGAUCGUAAAACUCGGUUGGUAGAGAAGAACGUUGGUGAGAGUGGAAAGCUCAUCAAGUGACGGUAACUACCCAGAAAGGGACGGCUAACUACGUG
rnacentral:rRNA from 1 species